CAAAGAGGCUGGCUGCUGAUAACCAUCUAGCACCAAGACUUUUAGUGGUUGGAUCCCAUUUGGUAACAAGGCUAAAAAUUAUUUAGUUGUGUAGAAUUUGAAAGCAGUAGUUUGGGAAUCAAUUUAAUUGGUGGAAAUUGGGAGUUGCUUCAAGUAUACACCUUCGUAUAAGUAAUGUAGUGUCCCGAGAAUCAGAUGUCAAACUCACAUGGAUUUGUGAUUUAACUAUUUAUUAAAUUAAAUUAAUGCUAAUUAUUUAUUCAAGUGGUAAAAUUCAAAGAUAUAAUUAUCAACUAACUAAAUACAAAAGGAAAUAAAUAAUGAAGAAUUAAUUAGAUGAACAGUAAAUUUUAUGUAUCAUUAAAUGAAAUUGAUAUAAGGUUAUGACCUAUCUAACAAUCACGUUGUAUUCUUCAAUUGGCUUACCUAUUGAUUUUUUUUGAGUUAUCAGUUGCAGCUUUCUGGUUGAUAUCAUUUAUUUGAACAUUUUGCUAAUAACUCUAAGACUAUUCGACUAUUCUAACGCCUUAUUUCUAUGGUCAUCGGUUAAUAGUGAAGUACAUGUAUGUUUCUUUUGUAUCAACCGAACAAAGAUUAAAAGGUAUAUUCCUAUCCACAUUGUUGGAUUUUACGAGUUAUGAGUCGCCCAUGUGACCCGAUCCGAUCAAUUAUUCUCUUUUUUGAUUAUCUGUAAAAAGAAGAUAAUAGGGAGUAUAUUAUGAAUUUGAAAAAGAGGGAACAGUUACUAAAUAACAGUUCAUCCGCGCCCAAUUUCCCCAUUUAUAUACUGCUACUUCUUCUUCUUCUUCAGAUAGAGUAUGAGAAAAUUAAGAUUUCUUGAGUACAAAAACUUACAUCAAGAACAAAACACCAAAGUUAGCAUUUAGCUUAUGAAAUUCAAGCUUUGUUUCCAAGAGAUUCAAAGCAUACUUGGGGCAGAUUUUUCAACAACAACAACAAACCCAGUGUAUUCCCACCUGGUGGGGUCUGGGGGUAGGAUGUACACAGUUCAUACCUCUACCUCUGAAGAAGUAGAAAGACUGUUUUCGAUAGAUCCCCGAAAAAUUAACCAAGUACACACUGUUUUGCUCCGAAUUUGAUAACAAUGACAUUAAAGUCAGGUUUAGUUGCCUUAAUUUUACAUGUAUUACCUCGAGUUUAAUAUGAUAAACUCUUGAAAUUGUGUAUUAACAUACCCGUGAGACAAUAAUUGCGUUAUGGAUUCCUCAGGCGCCCACAAAUUGAGUUUUAGAUCUGGCAAUUUUUUUCUUUUCUCAAAAUUCUGUUUCUAUAGGAUUUCUCCUUCGUUGAAUUUACAGUUUUUUUAAGCUCCGCUCAUCAACGCGACAACGCCACCUUAUGCUCUGCUGCUGUGUAUUAAGGUCCGAUGCCACAUCGUAUGAUUGGACCAAUAUACAAGUUUAUUGUUAAAUGUAAUCGCAAAAAAAUGGCUCCGUGAAGGAAUUGAAAAUCCAUACUCAGAAUAUGCAGGAGGCGUGAAGAGAGGAAAUCAUGUGUGUUGUUACCGUGCAGACACUUGUGCCUAUGCACAGUUUGCAGGUGCAAAAGUAAUAGAAUGUUCUGGAGAUUUAGUGUUUUGAAUUGAUAAAAGAGAAUAAUAUUAAAAUUAGGCUUCACUGGGAUGAACCAUGAAUUUUUUUUUUUC
rnacentral:lncRNA from 1 species